UUUUCCCUACUCCAGGAAGAACCAGGAAGAGAAGGCCUCUGUGUAUAUUUUAUAAGUAAAAAUAAAUGUUUAUUAAGGUUGCGUGUGAAAGUGGCAGCGUGCUGGUGACCGCGUUGCUGUGUGCCUCCCUCCCUGCCUGCUGUCCAGCUUCACUCUCCAGUGUCCGAAUCAGCGCUCUGGGUUUCCCAGCAGAAAACCACAAAGGGAAGAGAGGUGUAAGAACAUGCAUUAUUUCGCAGGUAAUUUGAAGAUAUUAAAACUAGAAAUUGGAACUGGAAAAUCUCAAGAAUUCAAGGUGCUUUAACAUGAGAAUUACACGGAACUCAUUUGACCAUACUUAGAGGUUGAUUACAGUUAUUGAAUCCCAGGAUUAUAGUUUCUUUUAUUUUCAAGAACCUUGUUGGUGUUAUAAAUGUAAAUCUUGACUGUUUAUUUUUUA